UCCGUGUUAACCACGGCAGUCUCUCUAGAGAGCCCAACUUAAUGCUGGCAACUAAAGAUAAGGGUUGCGCUCGUUGCGGGACUUAACCCAACAUGUCACCACACGAGCUGACGACAGCCAUGCAGCACCUGUCUCCCGGUGGUAUUGCUACCAAAGCCCUAUUUCUAGGGAUGUCCGAGGAUGUCAAAUCCAGGUAAGGUUCUUCGCGUUGCUUCGAAUUAAACCACAUGAUCCACCGCUUGUGCGGGCCCCCGUCAAUUCCUUUGAGUUUUAGUCUUGCGACCGUACUUCCCAGGCGGGGUACUUAUUGCGUUAGCUCCGGUUCGGCGGGGGUCAAGACCCACCAAACCUAGUACCCAUCGUUUACGGCGUGGACUAC
rnacentral:misc_RNA from 1 species